AUACGGAAGGUCCGGGCGUUAUCCGGAUUUAUUGGGUUUAAAGGGAGCGCAGGCGGAGAUGCAUGCGUGACGUCAAAUUUCGGGGCUCAACCCCGUCUCGCGUCGCGAACUGCGUCCCUUGGUUGCGGGAAGGGGAGGCGGAACUCGGGGUGUAGCGGGGAAAUGCAUAGAUAUCACGAAGAACUCCGAUCGCGAAGGCAGCCUUCCGGCCCGUCAACGACGCUCAUGCUCGAAGGUGCGGGUAUCAAACAGGAUUAGAUACCCUGGUAGUCCGCACAGUAAACGAUGGACACCCGCGGUUUGGCCUAUAUGGCUGAGCCGCCAAGCGAAAGCGUUAAGUGUCCCACCUGGGGAGUACGCCGGCAACGGUGAAACUCAAAUGAAUUGACGGGG
rnacentral:rRNA from 1 species